GUCCUGGGGGAGCCCAACCUCAGCUGUGGAGCCUCAGGACCCAGGGUUCUUCAGGGAGGAAACUUGACCAUGGCUUGGUUCCCUCUGCUGUUCCCACUGCUCAUUGGCAGCACAGCUCCUGGGGCCGCCUAUGUGCUGACACAGCCAUCUUCAAUGUCCAAGGCCCUGAGGGAGACAGCCAACAUCCCCUGUUCUGGGAAUGGUAUUAGUAAUAAAUAUGUACACUGGUAUCAGCAGAAAGCUGGCCAGGCCCCUGGGCUGGUGAUUUAUGAGGACAACAAGAGGCCCUCAUGGAUUUCUGACCGAUUCUCUGGGUCCAACUCAGGGGACAGGGCUACCCUGAGCAUCUCAGGCCUCCAGGCUGAGGAUGAGGCUCAUUAUUACUGUCAAGUGUGGGAUAGUAAUAGUAUUGCUCACAGUGGUACAGAGUGAUGGGGAAGUGAGACAAA